rnacentral:rRNA from 1 species
AAUGAACGCUGGCGGCAGGCCUAACACAUGCAAGUCGAGCGAGACCUUCGGGUCUAGCGGCGGACGGGUGAGUAACGCGUGGGAACGUGCCCUUUGGUUCGGAAUAGCCCCGGGAAACUGGGAGUAAUACCGGAUAAGCCCUACGGGGGAAAGAUUUAUCGCCAAAGGAUCGGCCCGCGUUGGAUUAGGUAGUUGGUGGGGUAAUGGCCUACCAAGCCGACGAUCCAUAGCUGGUUUGAGAGGAUGAUCAGCCACACUGGGACUGAGACACGGCCCAGACUCCUACGGGAGGCAGCAGUGGGGAAUCUUAGACAAUGGGGGAAACCCUGAUCUAGCCAUGCCGCGUGAGCGAUGAAGGCCUUAGGGUUGUAAAGCUCUUUCAGUGGGGAAGAUAAUGACUGUACCCACAGAAGAAGCCCCGGCUAACUCCGUGCCAGCCGCCGCAGUAACAC